rnacentral:lncRNA from 1 species
AGAUCAUCACGGUGACUUACAAGCAACUCACUAUACUUUGAUGUCGGACUAUCUGAAUUUUUAAUUCAGCGAUGAAAGAUUUUUGGGCAUAAUCAAGUACUUAUGAAGUUGGUGUAUGAGUCAAGAUGAAAUUGACCCUCCGAAUAAGUAGGAGUUAGUGUAUCAGUAUGUUUCAUUUCAGUAAAACCUUGGUCGGGAU